GAAGGAACCAAAAAAUUGACUCUAGCUGUAUAUACGAAAUUAAGCUAGAAUACUAUUAACAGCACCAAGUCAUUAGUGCUAUUAAAUUUUGGCUUUUGGAUGAAGCGAUGUGCGAUUAGGAUGACAGUGACCUCUUAGGGUUGAGUAGUUGGUUGGUUGAAUAGUAUGAUUUAACGGAUGAAAAUGGUCAAAGGGAUAGCUCUAACGAUUGAAAACUCAUAAGUACAAAAGAAUUUAUACUCAUAAAAGUAUAGUAGCCGGACUCUAUAUAUACACUACAACGGAAUUAGGUUAUAGGGACACAUGUUUGGAACACUUUUAUGUAAGUGUCUCAUUUAUGCCAAAACUUUAAAAAAAAAAAUCUGCUAAUGCCUAAGUAUAAAGCCCAAUCCAACUAAAAAUAAAAGAUUACUCUACUCAAUCAACCCCACCCAGCUCAUUCGGCCCGAUUACAAACAGAAAAGAAAAAAAAAAUCGAUCAUCAUCUCCCAUUCUCCUCUCUCACUCAAUCCACUGAAAUUCUAGACGAAGAGCCCUUCCCUCUCCUUAUCCUCCGCCACCGCAGCCAACGAGGUAGAGUUUCGGCAGUUGUUAAAUACUUAAAUAAGUAUUAGUAAAUUAGCAGCACUCUUUUUAGGUUAUACCGACACUCUUUAACUGUCAUUAUAUACCUAGUGACCCCACAUAUAGCAACACUUUUUUAAAAUGUCGGUAAUUUAGCCAGCAGCACUUUUUUUGACAUGUACUGACAUUUAAAAGUGUCGUUAUAGACCGUUUUUGUUGUAGUGAUAGAUUAAGACUUUUAUACUCUUAUGAGUAUAGACCCUUUUGUACUAUUAGAUUUUUGUACUUAUAUGUAGUGAGAGAAACCAUAGUACUAUUGAUAGUUAAAAAAA
rnacentral:lncRNA from 1 species